GCAGGGUCAACUGAUGCAGCUCAGGAGCCUUGCAAGACUUCCCAAAGUCUUAUUCUGUGUGAGGCAAGGAAAGCUCCAAGGCAGCUUUGCCCGUUUCUGCACCGCUUAUACAUAAAAGCAUCCAACCUGGACUGCUUGUUUCAAGUUUCUGCAACUAAGAUCUGGCUGCAGGCAAGAAGCAAGAAGAAGUCCAAUGAAGAGGAGCACCAGAUGAGGGAAGCUGCAGAAGCUGUGGAGAUGAGAGCAACAGGAGGAAGUCUAUGGAAGCAGCAACCACACGCUCCUUGAUGUCUGCAGAAAAUCUAAGUCUUCCCCAGGUGCAGGUGAUUGUGAUGAGUGCCAAUAUGGGUUGCAGCCACUGCAGGCAAAGGGUCUCAAAGGUGGUCUCCAAAAUGAAUACAGGCUUGCUGGAUUACAUGGUGGACUUGCGGAAGAAGGAGAUCACAAUGAGAGGGGUUGUGGAAAGCAAGAAGAGAAAAGUAGACGAAGAACGAAGAAGUUACAAGAAGAAAUCACCGAGAUCGUUGGGAUUCCUUAGGAUGAAUUGUUUCAGCUGUGGUUGAUGGUUUCAGAUUUCUAGAGACCAUAUACUUUGUCAUUUAAUUUGGAGAUUGUGUGUGUUCAUGGACAAAAAAUUUGGAAUCAAACUUGAAAUCCAUUUUAAUCGAACUACUCAAAUGAACGAUCCAUUUGGUUUA